rnacentral:rRNA from 1 species
GCAGUCGAGCGGUAGAGAGGUGCUUGCACCUCUUGAGAGCGGCGGACGGGCGUGUAAAGCCUAGGAAUCUGCCUGGUAGUGGGGGAUAACGCUCGGAAACGGACGCUAAUACCGCAUACGUCCUACGGGAGAAAGCAGGGGACCUUCGGGCCUUGCGCUAUCAGAUGAGCCUAGGUCGGAUUAGCUAGUUGGUGAGGUAAUGGCUCACCAAGGCGACGAUCCGUAACUGGUCUGAGAGGAUGAUCAGUCACACUGGAACUGAGACACGGUCCAGACUCCUACGGGAGGCAGCAGUGGGGAAUAUUGGACAAUGGGCGAAAGCCUGAUCCAGCCAUGCCGCGUGUGUGAAGAAGGUCUUCGGAUUGUAAAGCACUUUAAGUUGGGAGGAAGGGCAUUAACCUAAUACGUUAGUGUUUUGACGUUACCGACAGAAUAAGCACCGGCUAACUCUGUGCCAGCAGCCGCGGUAAUACAGAGGGUGCAAGCGUUAAUCGGAAUUACUGGGCGUAAAGCGCGCGUAGGUGGUUCGUUAAGUUGGAUGUGAAAUCCCCGGGCUCAACCUGGGAACUGCAUUCAAAACUGUCGAGCUAGAGUAUGGUAGAGGGUGGUGGAAUUUCCUGUGUAGCGGUGAAAUGCGUAGAUAUAGGAAGGAACACCAGUGGCGAAGGCGACCACCUGGACUGAUACUGACACUGAGGUGCGAAAGCGUGGGGAGC